UACGGGGGGGGCAAGCGUUGUUCGGAAUUACUGGGCGUAAAGGGCGCGUAGGCGGCCUACUAAGACGGACGUGAAAUCCCUCGGCUCAACCGGGGAACUGCGUCCGAUACUGGUGGGCUCGAAUCCGGGAAAGGGAUGUGGAAUUCCAGGUGUAGCGGUGAAAUGCGUAGAUAUCUGGAGGAACACCGGUGGCGAAGGCGGCAUCCUGGACCGGUAUUGACGCUGAUGCGCGAAAGCCAGGGGAGCAAACGGG
rnacentral:rRNA from 1 species